rnacentral:rRNA from 17 species
GACUCUCGGCAACGGAUAUCUCGGCUCUCGCAUCGAUGAAGAACGUAGCAAAAUGCGAUACUUGGUGUGAAUUGCAGAAUCCCGUGAACCAUCGAGUCUUUGAACGCAAGUUGCGCCCGAAGCCAUCCGGCCGAGGGCACGCCUGCCUGGGCGUCACGCAUCG